AACGCACAUUGCGCCCCGUGGUAUUCCGCGGGGCAUGCCUGUUCGAGCGUCAUUUCAACCCAUCAAGCUUCGGCUUGGUCUUGGGGCCUGCGGUUUCGCAGCCUCUAAACUCAGUGGCGGUGCUUCUGAGCUCUGAGCGUAGUAAUUUUUUCUCGCUAUAGGGUCUCGGAGGUUACUUGCCAACAACCCCCAAUUUUUAUCAGGUUGACCUCGGAUCAGGUAGGGAUACCCGCUGAACUUAA
rnacentral:misc_RNA from 1 species